AACGAACGCUGGCGGCAUGCCUAACACAUGCCAGUCGAACGAGACCUUCGGGUCUAGUGGCGCACGGGUGCGUAACGCGUGGGAACCUGCCCUUAGGUUCGGAAUAACUCCCCGAAAGGGGUGCUAAUACCGGAUAAUGUCUUCGGACCAAAGAUUUAUCGCCUUUGGAUGGGCCCGCGUUGGAUUAGCUAGUUGGUAGGGUAAAAGCCUACCAAGGCGACGAUCCAUAGCUGGUCUGAGAGGAUGAUCAGCCACACUGGGACUGAGACACGGCCCAGACUCCUACGGGAGGCAGCAGUGGGGAAUAUUGGACAAUGGGCGAAAGCCUGAUCCACCAAUGCCGCGUGAGUGAUGAAGGCCUUAGGGUUGUAAAGCUCUUUUACCCGGGAUGAUAAUGACAGUACCGGGAGAAUAAGCUCCGGCUAACUCCGUG
rnacentral:rRNA from 1 species